GAUGAACGCUGGCGGCGUGCUUAACACAUGCAAGUCGAACGGAAAGGCCUCAGCUUGCUGGGGUGCUCGAGUGGCGAACGGGUGAGUAACACGUAGGUGAUCUGCCUUUCACUUCGGGAUAAGCUUGGGAAACUGGGUCUAAUACCGGAUAUUCACGGCACCGUGGUUGGUGUGGUGGAAAGCUUUUGCGGUGGGAGAUGAGCUUGCGGCCUAUCAGCUUGUUGGUGGGGUAAUGGCCUACCAAGGCGGCGACGGGUAGCCGGCCUGAGAGGGUGUGCGGCCACAUUGGGACUGAGAUACGGCCCAGACUCCUACGGGAGGCAGCAGUGGGGAAUUUUGCACAAUGGGCGGAAGCCUGAUGCUGCGACGCCGUGUGGGGGAUGAAGGCCUUCGGGUUGUAAACUCCUUUCGUCAGGGACGAAGUUUGUUUGACGGUACCUGGAUAAGAAGCACCGGCUAACUACGUG
rnacentral:rRNA from 1 species